rnacentral:rRNA from 1 species
CCUACGGGUGGCAGCAGUGAGGAAUAUUGGUCAAUGGGCGGGAGCCUGAACCAGCCAAGUCGCGUGAGGGAAGACGGUCCUAUGGAUUGUAAACCUCUUUAGUCGGGGAGCAAUGCCGGGCACGCGUGCCCGGAGGGAGAGUACCCGCAGAAUAAGCAUCGGCUAACUCCGUGCCAGCAGCCGCGGGAAUACGGAGGAUGCGAGCGUUAUCCGGAUUUAUUGGGUUUAAAGGGUGCGUAGGCGGAUGUUUAAGUCAGCGGUAAAAUGUCCGGGCUAAAUCGGGGCCGGUCGUUGAUACUGGGGAGCUUGAGUGGGCGAGAAGUAUGCGGAAUGCGAGGUGUAGCGGUGAAAUGCAUAGAGAUCACGCAGAAUUCCGAUUGCGAAGGCAGCAUACCGGCGCCCGACUGACGCUGAGGCACGAAAGCGUGGGGAUCGAACAGGAUUAGAUACCCGAGUAGUC